rnacentral:lncRNA from 1 species
AUUUUUUAAAUUGUAAAUAUCUCAUUGUAUUAACAAUGUUCUUAUGUUUAUACAAAAAAAAUAUACAAAAAUAUUUAGUCUGCAUGUGGUUUAAUGAAACCAAUGCGACAAAAGGAUGUCACAUUAUUUGUAUUGUAUGCAAAAAUAAGUUGGUAAACAAGUGUAUACAUUUAAAUUUAAAUGCUGCUGAGUUGCAUGCAAGUAUGAAAAAUAUUGUUACAAGAUACAUAACUGGUUUAUGGUAUUUAAACACGGGGAAAAUCAGAACUUAAGUAAAACCCCCAUUACAAUAAACAAACUUGAAUCAACUAACAUAGAAAACACAUGGUAUUGUUUUUAUUUACAAACGUCACAUGAUAGCAAUAUCACGUGGUAUUGUUUAUAUGUACACUCAUCACGUGACUGUGUCAAUACACACUUGCGAUAUUAUGAAGUCCAACAAACUAGGUCAUUUAAAUUAAGAACAGAGUUAACAAUAAACGAAAGGUACGUUAGCGGAAAAAAUAAAAACAGAAAGAACAAACAAAUAAUGAAUGAAAAUAAAAAAAUAAACAAACUUACAUUACACACAAAUGGCUCCUAAACCACUUCACAUAUGUUCUGUAAACACUCAAGGUUUACUGCAAUCUGAAAAAAGAAAAAGAUUAUUUGAGUGGUGCAAACAGCAAAAAUGUCAAAUUUUAAUGAUGCAAGAAACACAUUUUACCAGAAGUAUGAAUGACAAUUUAAAUAAUGACUUACCUGGAGAAAUCUUUCAUAGUUGGGGUAGUAGCGCAUCAAGGGGUGUAGCAAUUUGGUUCACAAAAC